GUACACUCCUACGGGAGGCAGCAGUGGGGAAUAUUGGACAAUGGGCGCAAGCCUGAUCCAGCCAUGCCGCGUGAGUGAUGAAGGCCCUAGGGUUGUAAAGCUCUUUCACCGGAGAAGAUAAUGACGGUAUCCGGAGAAGAAGCCCCGGCUAACUUCGUGCCAGCAGCCGCGGUAAUACGAAGGGGGCUAGCGUUGUUCGGAAUUACUGGGCGUAAAGCGCACGUAGGCGGAUCGAUCAGUCAGGGGUGAAAUCCCAGGGCUCAACCCUGGAACUGCCUUUGAUACUGUCGAUCUGGAGUAUGGAAGAGGUGAGUGGAAUUCCGAGUGUAGAGGUGAAAUUCGUAGAUAUUCGGAGGAACACCAGUGGCGAAGGCGGCUCACUGGUCCAUUACGGACGCUGAGGUGCGAAAGCGUGGGGAGCAAACAGGAUUAGAAACCCUGGUAGUCCCAUG
rnacentral:rRNA from 1 species